rnacentral:rRNA from 1 species
AGAGGGGUGCGAGCGUUAAUCGGAAUUACUGGGCGUAAAGGGUGCGUAGGUUGAUAUUCAAGUUGGGGUGUGAAAGCCCCGGGCUUAACCUGGGACGGCCAUUCAAAACUGGGUAUCUAGAGUACAGUAGAGGAUAGUGGAAUUUUCGGUGUAGCGGUGAAAUGCGUAGAUAUCGAAAGGAACAUCAAUGGCGAAGGCAGCUAUCUGGGCUGAUACUGACACUGAGGCACGAAAGCGUGGGUAGCAAACAGGAUUAGAUACCCUGGUAGUCCACGCCGUAAACGAUGAAAACUAGCCGUUGGGCAUUUUAAAUGUUUAGUGGCGCAGCUAACGCGUUAAGUUUUCCGCCUGGGGAGUACGGCCGCAAGGUUA